AAUUCCUUGGUGCAGUUGCCAGCGCGUCAGUCUCAUAAUCUGAAGGUCGCCAGUUUGAUCCUGGCAGGGAGCU